CCAAUAGCGUAUAUUAAAGUUGUUGCAGUUAAAAAGCUCGUAGUUGAAUUUCGGAAUCAAUAUAUCGGUCGUGCCUCUGGUACGCACUUAUUUAUUGAUUUCUCACUUCUGACGAAUCAUAAUGUCAUUAGUUUGGUGUUAUGAGGAAUCAGGACUGUUACUUUGAAAAAAUUAGAGUGUUUAAAGCAGGCUCGCGCUUGAAUACAUUAGCAUGGAAUAAUGAAAUAGGAUGUUUGAUCUUAUUUUGUUGGUUUCUAGGAUCGACAUAAUGAUUAAUAGGGAGAGUUGGGGGCAUUAGUAUUCAAUUGUCAGAGGUGAAAUUCUUGGAUUUAUUGAAGACUAACUACUGCGAAAGCAUUUGCCAAGGAUGUUUUCAUUAAUCAAGAACGAAAGUUAGGGGAUCGAAGACGAUCAGAUACCGUCGUAGUCUUAACCAUAAACUAUGCCGACUAGGGAUCGGAUGAUGUUAUUUUUUAAUGACUCAUUCGGCACCUUACG
rnacentral:misc_RNA from 1 species